UGUAUUAAAGGCUCCUGUAAGAGGGACUUUUAUUAUGAAACCGGAAUUGUUAUAGUACGACGUUAGGGGGCAGUGUAGUUUGAUGAGCUGCCGCUGUUUGGUGUGUUCGUGUGAUCUGUCCAAGCCAUCAGCUGCAAGGAUGAUGCUUCCAGUUUAUUUGUGGAGAUUGUUGCAGAUUUAAUAUCAGGGUGUUAGUCACUGACCACAAAACUAUCUACGCCUUUGAUUGUACAUCUGUGGGCCUUCCUUUUCUCUACUAAUACAACAUUGAAAGCUAAUCACCUGCCUCCUCAUUAUUGGUGCUCUGACCGGCACCCAGGGGGGUUUACUCAUCCAUUACCUGAUCAGAACCUAACAGUCCUAAAGUCUCUCCAACAAAUUUGGUCCUUCGAGCCGGAUGAGUAUUCCCUUUUGACAUGAUGGAUCCUGAUGAGGAGAUUGUUAGUGGUGCUCGUCCUAAACGUCAUACUCGUCCACCAGCUCACCUUCAGCAGUAUGAAGUACAGUAUACCCGAGUCAGACCUGUCGCUGAGUAUGAUGUUCCGCAUCCUUUGGAGGCACCUGUCCGCCGGACUACCCCCCUAUCCUUCCAGCCUUACGCCACUCCCCCUGGUGGUGACCUGGUCUGUUCUGAUGGCUCACAGAUCAUAGCCUCAAAUUAUCAGCCUCCACAGCAUGCUGAAUUCCAUCAGUCAUCCUUCUCCUCGCCUCAAGCAGCUGGUUUGAUUUCCUCUGCACACGGCAGUGAAUUAGAGCACCUGCGUCAUGAGCAUGCACAACUUAUUCAGACUCAUCAGGCUUUCCAAGCAGACCUGAGGGAGCUGAGAGAAGUCCGUGCGGAAGUCAGAGAAUUAGUUCAAGUUGCUCAGUCACUUCGAGCUGACCUUAGUCUAACCAGAGGCCAGAAUCUCUCAUCAGCACAGCCACCAGCAUUGCAGCUAUCCAGUCCUCCUGUGAGGCGGUAUGAAUCCACACCUUUCGCGGAUGAGGGAAAUUUUGCGGAUCUUCCCCCACCACCCUGGCCUGAGCCUGACGUUGACUGGAUGAACCAGGUGGGUGACCUUACACUCUCCGACACGGGCGCCACUGUUUACCACCCAGUGAUGCCAGAGAAUAGAAAGUAUUCCUUUGUGUUCCCGGCUACUGAAACACGCCCUCCUAAGCCUUAUGCUCCUGACACUGGCGGGUUCCCCCCACCUCCAACCCCUAAAGAGCUUCGAGAGUUACUCACAUCUGCGGCCAUGCCCUUACCUGCUAACCGCACAACCGUGCCUGUUUCUUCACGAUUCAGUUCAGUACCUGCUCAUUUGAAUCCUCCAUCCUUUGCACCAAAGGCAGAGCCCGGCCUAUGUUCUGUAGCACCUCAUUCUAGGUCUGAAUAUUUAUACCGGGGACCUUUUCCCACGAUUCCUAAGUUCAGCCGGUCUGAUCCUGGCGAGUUUGCUCGGCUCCGGAUAGCUCUGGAGAACCUGCUUCCCCCAGAUGGGACUGAACUUUUCAAAUAUCAGAUCUUAAUGGAUCACCUUAAGCUGGAGGAGGCUAGAAUGAUAGCAGAUGCUUAUCUUAACUCACCAACUCCAUUCACUGAUACGAUGGCAGCACUUCAUGAUAAAUUUGGUCAACCACAUCAGCUAGCUUUAAGGAAGAUUGCUAGUGUCCUUGAGAGUCCUGACAUAAAGAGAGGCGAUAUAUCAGCCUUCCAAAGGUUUGCUCUCCAAGUGCAGUCAUUAGUGGGCCUAUUGAGAACUCUGGG
ensembl:lncRNA